AAUUCCAGCUCCAAGAGCGUAUAUUAAUACUGCUGUAGUUAAAACGCCCGUAGUAUACCUAAGAGUGGGUGUGUAGUAAUUAGUUUUGCCAGAGGACGGUUGGCGAGAGUUUAUCACUCUUGUUUACCUACUUUUGGUAGACUUUAGUCGGGCUGGACCUUUGGUCCUCGUCUGACAGUUGCUACGUGCUUACUUACCACGGUUCAUCCGUGAGGCCCUUGGCUUGCAACUGUAAAUAAAUCGUUGUGCUUAAAGCGGGCUAUGAUACUCUGCCAGAGCGAUUUAGCAUGGGACUGCAGAGUAGCUGUAUUUGAGUGAAGGUUGCACCUCGGUGUGGCUGGAGCUUGGUACAGCGCUUGUAAUGGAGCUCAGGGUGAGGCCCCGGGUACCAUGAGGCUAGAGGUGAAAUUCUGAGACCCUCAUGUGACCAACUAAGGCGAAAGCUGUCGUGGGCCACCACAAGCUCGUCUAUCAGGGACGAAAGUUGGGGGAUCGAAGACGAUUAGAUACCGUCGUAGUCCCAGCUAUAAACGAUACCAACCGAGUAUUUGGGAAGACACUAUCCCAGCGAUCUUCUCAGAACUCAAGGGAAACCUUAAGUCUUUGGGUUCUGGGGGGAGUAUAGUCGCAAGACCGAAACUUAAAGGAAUUGACGGAAAGGCACCACCAGGAGUGGAGUCUGCGGCUUAAUUCGACUCAACACGGGGAAACUCACCAGGUCAGGACACAAGUUUGAUUGACAGGUUAAUAGCCCUUUCUUGAUUGUGUGGUGGGUAGUGCAUGGCCGUUUCCAGUUCGUGGAGUGAUCUGUCUUGUUAAUUCAGAUAACGAACGAGACCUAAGCCUUUAACUAGCCGUAGGCCUUUUCCUUCGGGGAAGGGUUAGUUUGUCGGAACAGGCUUCGGUCUGUUCCAAAACCUACGAGACUUUUGUCAGCUUCUUAAAGGGACUUCAUUNGUAAAUAGGAUGAGGAAGAUUUAGGCCAUAACAGGUCUGUGAUGCUCUUAGAUGUCCUGGGCUGCACGCGUAAUACAACUCACGGUACCAGCGAGCGUAUGGUUUUAUAACCCCUUAUCCUAAUAGGAUUGGGAAAACUUUUCAAACACCGUUAUGACAGGGAUCGAGGAUUGGAACAUCCUCGUGAACGAGGAAUUCCUAGUAAGCGUGGUUCAUCAUACCACAUUGAUUAGUCCCUGCCUUUUGUACACACCGCCCGUCGCUCCUACCGAUGGGACGAAGAGAUGAACCUGGCGGA
rnacentral:rRNA from 1 species